CCCUAGGGAAGGCUGUGCCUAGGCACUGCUUACGCAGCUGCCUCUCAGUAGAGGCCCUGGUGCAGAUCUUGGGGUGCCUUUGGCUACCACAGGGAAGGAGCAAGAAAGAGGAGGAAAGGUGAAGGCCACAGACAAGUCCAAGAUCUUUCCCUCAGUGAACAGACUCCCUGUGUCGCAAGAAAGUCUCCUUUGAUGAGUCUUGCAUAGCAGUUGAUUAAAACUGUUAAAUGAAGCGUUUAAUGUGAAUUUAAAGUCACGUGUCAACUCAUUUUCAUCAUUUCUCAAGUUUGCAUUUCAGACACACAGUGAAGCAUUGAAGAGGUCUAAUGUCUGAUUUCAGUUCAGUGAGGAUGAUUCCCAAAGACAGAAUCUCCCCCAUUAUCUUCUGCCUUCAGCUCAUGCAAGAUAAAAUAG